UUUUUUUUAGUUGUGGAACAUGUAUAUUCAAAACGGAUCAAAUAAAAAACAAAAUAUCAACAUAUUUAUAACCUUUUAAUGAUUCUCACAAUCAACAGCUGUCAACAUCAUACCAUAUGAUAAUAACCAUGGAAACUAAAUAUUGCACACAUUUUUUUCAAUCCUAUAUCAUAAACAAAUAACAAUGUUCUAUAUAUAGAUAUGUUGUCAUGACAACAGCCAACAAGACUAUUGAAUCAAGUACAUUAAACAUGGAAUAUCGUAGCAAUGACCUUGAUAUUUGGAAGUGAAUCAAUCUACAAUAUAUUUCUUCAAACUUCGUCCACGCCAUUUUAUCUUAAAAUAGGUCAAUAAACAUGCUUAAGUAUCUUUCGUAACUUCAUUAACAGAAUCAACAAUAUUCUAAGGCGAAGUCAUACAUUUUCCUAAAAGAAAAAGAAGCGAAGGACAGAGUGCUAACAGCUAUAUUUGGUCUAAUUUUUUACUAAAAUUCAAAAGUUUUGUCUAUUUCCAAUUUGUAAUUCUGUAAUCUUUCAAUUUUUAGGCCCCUAGCACAACUCCUCCUUUCUUUGAAAUAUGAGUCAAACAAAAGUUAACUAUUAAACUACCAUGCAAAGAAUCACCUCUUUCUAUUUGCUUUCUGACUGUACACCUCAUUACACUUCUUUCAUACAAAAUAUGAUAUUAGCCACAGAAAACAAGUUUAAACAAAAAUCUAUGACAUUUUAGGGUAAAAAUGGAUAUAUUGACUAUUCAAAAAUUGAAUUAGAAAUCACCAAAUGUCUUUACCAAGUAUAAUGAAAUUUUAUUAUGUCAUCUAAAUGGUUAAAAAGUGCAGUAACAUGUAUAAAGAAUGAAUGUUCCUUGCAACCAUGUUUUUUUGUGAACAUCAAUAAUAUCAGACAAUUUAUUUAUAAUAACACCAUACAUAUUAAUUUUAAUGUAGUCUGAUGUCCUGCAUAGAUCAUUCUUCAUCCUCAAAUAACGUCAAAUUCCUUGUAAAUUGAGAAAAUUGUCAGGUUUAACCAUUUUGUUAGUUCACAGUAUAUAUCAGGUUAUCUCCCUUACAAUAGGACUUUUAUCAGUUUAUUUCAUAUCUUUACACAAAAUAUUAUAGAAAUAAAACAAAAAUAAUCAUGGUGAUUUACUCAUUUUGUAUUAAGGGUCUAUAGGGACUCACAAGUAUUUCUUGACAACAAAAUAAUUAUAGCAAGAAUAAUCAAUUGCUAAUCUGCAGCAAAUCUUUAACAUUCAUGUCUUCUACCUAAAUAGCGAUACACAGUAUCCUUCAUCUUAAGAUAAGAACAAAUACAAGCGCUUCAAAUAGCAAAAUAUCUGAAACAUUGACAAUGGAAUGAUCUUAUUUAUUACAUAAGUUAUAAUAUCAUAAUACUACAAUUUAAUGGAUUUCUCUUCAUUUUUCAUGAGCAUUUUGAGGUCAUAAGGUCAAUGUAAAUAACUUUGUAGAUAUUAUAAUGAUAGCACAUAUGAUCUAUAAUAUUACAUGUAUUGCUAACAGUAUGCCUAUGUCAACAGAUUAUAAGUUUGACAUAGUAAUAUUAAGCUAUGUGUAUUAACUUUGCUAGCAGUCAGCAUAAUUAUAUAGCCUUCUAAUGUGUCUUUGGAAACUAGGGAGAAAGUUAUGAUCAAAAUUGUUAACUAAGUCUUUAGAUAACAUAAAAACUUAAGGUGGUACCCAACACCUUCACUAAAGUUAAUUUGGCUGUUUAAUUUUUAUAAAAUUUUGACAAAGUGUUUACCUUGACACUUUGGCAAAAAUAUAAAAAUUUCUAAAAAUU
rnacentral:lncRNA from 1 species